rnacentral:other from 1 species
GAAAUCCUGUGAUGUGCGUUAUCAUUAAACGUUUUGAGCCAACGUUUUUUGAACGGGAGCCAAAGGUUGCCUUUUGGAUUACAUGCCUAGUGAGAGCUUGGACUUAAAAAGAAGGGCACGGGGCACCCACCUGCUUGAGCAGGUUCAAAGCUUUAGUCGAACACGGCAUUUACGGGAUUUCU